AGCGAACGCUGGCGGCAGGCUUAAUACAUGCAAGUCGAACGGACUUCUUCGGAAGUCAGUGGCAGACGGGUGAGUAACACGUGGGAACGUGCCCUUCGGUUCGGAAUAACUCAGGGAAACUUGAGCUAAUACCGGAUACGCCCUUAUGGGGAAAGGUUUACUGCCGCAGGAUCGGCCCGAGUCGGAUUGGCUUGCUGGUGGGGUAACGGCCUACCAAGGCGCCGUUCCGCAGCUGGUCUGAGAGGAUCUUCCGCCACACUGGGACUAGGACGCGGCCGGGACUCCUACGGAAGGCAGCAGAGGGUAAUAUUGGACAAUGGGCGCAGUCCUGAUCCUGCCAGGACGGGAAAGUGAUGUAGGUAGUAGAGUUGUAAAGCUCUAUUAUCCGUGACGAUAAUGACGGUACCGGAAGAAUAAGCCCCGGCUAACUUCGUG
rnacentral:rRNA from 1 species